rnacentral:rRNA from 1 species
ACGCCGUAAACGAUGUCUACUUGGAGGUUGUGGCCUUGAGCCGUGGCUUUCGGAGCUAACGCGUUAAGUAGACCGCCUGGGGAGUACGGUCGCAAGAUUAAAACUCAAAUGAAUUGACGGGGGCCCGCACAAGCGGUGGAGCAUGUGGUUUAAUUCGAUGCAACGCGAAGAACCUUACCUACUCUUGACAUCCAGAGAACUUUCCAGAGAUGGAUUGGUGCCUUCGGGAACUCUGAGACAGGUGCUGCAUGGCUGUCGUCAGCUCGUGUUG